UACAGAGGUCUCAAGCGUUGUUCGGAUUCAUUGGGCGUAAAGGGUGCGUAGGUGGCGAGGUUAGUCAGGUGUGAAAGCCCCGGGCUCAACCCGGGAAGUGCACUCGAAACUGCGAGGCUAGAGUACUGGAGAGGUUGGUGGAAUUCUCGGUGUAGAGGUGAAAUUCGUAGAUAUUCGCAAGAACACCAGUGGCGAAGGCGGCUUACUGGUCCGGUUCUGACGCUGAGGCGCGAAAGCGUGGGGAGCAAACGGG
rnacentral:rRNA from 1 species